rnacentral:rRNA from 1 species
AUUGAACGCUGGCGGCAUGCCUUACACAUGCAAGUCGAACGGCAGCACGGGAGCAAUCCUGGUGGCGAGUGGCGAACGGGUGAGUAAUAUAUCGGAACGUGCCCAGUCGUGGGGAUAACGUAGCGAAAGCUACGCUAAUACCGCAUACGAUCUAAGGAUGAAAGCGGGGGAUCGCAAGACCUCGCGCGAUUGGAGCGGCCGAUAUCAGAUUAGGUAGUUGGUGGGGUAAAGGCUCACCAAGCCAACGAUCUGUAGCUGGUCUGAGAGGACGACCAGCCACACUGGUACUGAGACACGGCCCAGACUCCUACGGGAGGCAGCAGUGGGGAAUAUUGGACAAUGGGCGAAAGACCUGAUCCAGCAAUGCCGCGUGAGUGAUGAAGGCUAGGUUGUAAGCUCUUUACCCGUAGAUGAUAAUGACAGUAUCGGAGGAA